GUUCUCGUUAGAUCACCGAAGUCAAGCAUCAUUGGGCGCGGUCAGUACUUGGGUGGGUGACCACCUGGGAACACCGCGUGCCGUU